rnacentral:rRNA from 1 species
UACGGAGGGUGCAAGCGUUAUCCGGAUUCACUGGGUUUAAAGGGUGCGUAGGCGGGUUGGUAAGUCAGUGGUGAAAUCUUCAAGCUUAACUUGGAACUGCCGUUGAUACUAUCAAUCUUGAUAUUGUGGAGGUAAGCGGAAUAUGUCAUGUAGCGGUGAAAUGCUUAGAUAUGACAUAGAACACCGAUAGCGAAGGCAGCUUGCUACACAGUAAUUGACGCUGAGGCACGAAAGCGUGGGGAUCAAACAGG